CGCCAUGGAUUGGUGCAAGAGAUGUGUGUUCUCCUCCUUUGUAGUCAUCCAAUCUAAGAUAUUUAGAAGCAUUGCUUCAAUACUAUUAUAUCUAGCAUAUUGUUCUUCCUUUAUCACAUCAUGAGACCUAUCAAACUCAUAAGAAGAACUAGAAUUUUUUUAGCAUAACUAGGGGAGGGGCAUUUGGAAAAUCACUCCAAUAUCCAUAUCGACC
rnacentral:lncRNA from 1 species